CAUAAAUUUGAAUUGCUGUGAAUAUUCUGAAGUGACAUACCCACGAAUAAGGCGUCUCCCAGCUGACAAGGACCUCACCAGUAAAUGUGCUGGACAGGGGACUCCAGGGUGAUGCCACUUCUGACUUUCCACAGGCUUACCAAGGAUUAGCAAACUUCAUGUGGAUCUCAGCCGAAGAGUUUCUAAAAGAAACUUCAAAAAUUCCAAGACGUGAAGAAUCACCUCAGAGAGGCUCUGGUGCGGUUUCCAAAUGAGCUUUGGAACAUUGCUGCUAGCACCAAGUUGCGCGUCAGAUGGGGGAGAGAUGCUUUGCCGGGGUCAGCUCUACCCCUGUCCCGAUGCUGAAGGUCCUCUACCCCUGCACACCCUUCCCGGCCCCAACCCCUGGAUCUGAGGAAAGGCUGUGGCACAGUAUGUGGACUCCGAUUACAUCUCCAAACAGGAGGAACACGCAAUCGGUGGGAGACGCCUGCUUUCUAGCCCCUUUGUGCUCAGGGGCAGAAAUACAAAUAAGCCUCAAUGUCUUUUUCCUGCUUAUGUGCGCAGAGAUCCGUUUUUCAAUAGCAGGCUCCGGCAGAUAAGUAUUCCCUUUGCCUGGGGAAAUUUUCCUUCUCCCCGCCAUCCGGCCCCAUCGCUUGUGUUGUCUCAGGGAGAGCGGGACCAUAAACUUUACGAGCGAGUUUUCCCUCUUAAAUGAAUUACAUAACAGAACCACUGCUUACAGCUGGUGUUGUGUCAGAAACAGACCACAGAAAGAAGCGGGUAGGAAUGGCAACAAGCCUCCUGACAAGCCACGGCAGGGCCCAGGCACCACAGGCCGCAGCCGCACCCCCUUUCACCCGUGCUGCACGUAACGCCACGCGCCACGUCAGACAGCAACCCAGAGCCCGUCCGAAACAAAACUCCCGGCACAGGAGCAAUUGCCUUUUCUCAUAAACUCACCCAAAGGGCUAUUUUUAAAAUUGAUCUUUCCAAAUAGCAUUAAGUGACAAAUCCAGCUCUGCGUACACCCAACAAGUGUGGGGAGGUCCUGCAGACAGCUCAUAGUAUGAAGACUCAGACUUGAACUUUAUCAUUUUAUUGCACUUGGAGAAUUUCCUGGGUAUUUUCUAGGUUACUUCCUUAUUACUGGGUCAAAAC